UUGAGGGAUUGGAGCAAACUUUUCCACUGACGCGUUUCAAAAGCAGCGUGAGCCAUUGCAAAAACGUGGGAAAUAACUGGAUGCGUCGAUAGAUACCUUAAUUAAUUAUUCUCAAAGGCUGUCGAUAUUGUUACCCAAUCACUGUCAGAGACGGACAGCCAACAACCGGUAACCUAACAUCUGCGGAGGCAAUGCCACUCGUCGACAGCUCAACGUGGGUCCACCCAGUCGGCACAAAAACAUCAGGAAUUUAAUUUAGGUUUGAUGUUUCAGGAGUCUAUCCAUCCAAAAAGAAGAUUGGCACGUUCACAGAAAUCAACCACUGCAAGAGACUGAUAAGUUACUUGGAGCGUAACCUGGGUCCAGGUCAGUAUGAGGUGGACAUGGGGGACUUCAGCCCCCAGGUGGUCCAGAGCAGGGCCAGGGUACCAGGGCGGA